rnacentral:rRNA from 1 species
UACGGAGGAUCCGAGCGUUAUCCGGAUUUAUUGGGUUUAAAGGGAGCGUAGGCGGGUGCUUAAGUCAGUUGUGAAAGUUUGCGGCUCAACCGUAAAAUUGCAGUUGAUACUGGGCGUCUUGAGUGCAGCAUAGGUAGGCGGAAUUCGUGGUGUAGCGGUGAAAUGCUUAGAUAUCACGAAGAACUCCGAUUGCGAAGGCAGCUUACUGGACUGUAACUGACGCUGAUGCUCGAAAGUGUGGGUAUCAAACAGG